rnacentral:rRNA from 1 species
AUUGAACGCUGGCGGCAGGCCUAACACAUGCAAGUCGAGCGGAUGAAGGGAGCUUGCUCCUGGAUUCAGCGGCGGACGGGUGAGUAAUGCCUAGGAAUCUGCCUGGUAGUGGGGGAUAACGUCCGGAAACGGGCGCUAAUACCGCAUACGUCCUGAGGGAGAAAGUGGGGGAUCUUCGGACCUCACGCUAUCAGAUGAGCCUAGGUCGGAUUAGCUAGUUGGUGGGGUAAAGGCCUACCAAGGCGACGAUCCGUAACUGGUCUGAGAGGAUGAUCAGUCACACUGGAACUGAGACACGGUCCAGCCUCCUACGGGAGGCAGCAGUGGGGAAUAUUGGACAAUGGGCGAAAGCCUGAUCCAGCCAUGCCGCGUGUGUGAAGAAGGUCUUCGGAUUGUAAAGCACUUUAAGUUGGGAGAAAGGGCAGUAAGUUAAUACCUUGCUGUUUUGACGUUACCAACAGAAUAAGCACCGGCUAACUUCGUG